rnacentral:rRNA from 1 species
CCUACGGGAGGCAGCAGUGGGGAAUAUUGCGCAAUGGGCGAAAGCCUGACGCAGCGACGCCGCGUGUGGGAUGAAGGUCUUCGGGUUGUAAACUUCUUUUGUCAGGGAAGAGUAGAAGACGGUACCUGACGAAUAAGCCACGGCUAACUACGUGCCAGCAGCCGCGGUAAUACGUAGGUGGCAAGCGUUGUCCGGAUUUACUGGGUGUAAAGGGCGUGUAGGCGGGUUGACAAGUCAGAUGUGAAAUCCUUCGGCUUAACCGGAGAACUGCAUUUGAGACUGUUGAUCUUGAGUACUGGAGAGGCAGACGGAAUGCCUAGUGUAGCGGUGAAAUGCGUAGAUAUUAGGAGGAACACCAGUGGCGAAGGCGGUCUGCUGGACAGCAACUGACGGUGAGGCGCGAAAGCGUGGGGAGCAAACAGGAUUAGAUACCCGAGUAGUC